UACGUAGGGUGCGAGCGUUGUUCGGAUUUACUGGGCGUAAAGGGCGCGUAGGCGGUCAGCACAAGUCAGUUGUGAAAUCUCCGGGCCUAACCCGGAAAGGUCAACUGAUACUGUGCGACUAGAGUGCGGAAGGGGCAACUGGAAUUCUCGGUGUAGCGGUGAAAUGCGUAGAUAUCGAGAGGAACACCUGCGGCGAAGGCGGGUUGCUGGGCCGACACUGACGCUGAUGCGCGAAAGCCAGGGGAGCGAACGGG
rnacentral:rRNA from 1 species